rnacentral:lncRNA from 1 species
GCGGGGCCGACUGACCGGUCGCCGGGAUCUGACCGUCUACGCUGCGGCGGGCUGCGCGAGGCGGAAGGUGAGGCGCGCACUUCCGGGGCCUGCGGCGGUAGAGGGGACCCGGCCCGGGGGAGAGAGGGGCGGGGGGAGGGGGGCAGAGCUGAGCGGGCAGAGGGGAGACGAGCGCGGUAGAGCAAGGUGAGAGGUACCGAAGGCAGGGCGCGGUGUCUGGCCGGCACACGGAGAGGCCAGGCCCAGGGCACAAGUCUGUCCAGGCUCCAGUCGGGUGCCGAGGGCGCCAAGGGGUCAGGACCGGCUUCUGGAAGUGGCCGCCUGUGAAGGCCGCCGGUAGGGCAUUUCACGUUUUGUCUGUGGAGUUGUUUUCAUUUUUGCAACCUGUUGGCCAGGUGGGCAGCGCCAGACUUAUCUCCAUUUGCAGCCAGGAAAUGAAGGCCGGCGGGAGUGACACGCCCGGGCUUUGUGUGGGCUUUGGAGUUCGGCCAGAGGAGAAACUGGAGCCUCUCAGGGCUUCGGGUGACCUCACUCGUGGGGAUCCUGGGCUCCUCCUCACAGACUGGGGUCAGAGUGAGAAGCUCUGGCGUGCGGAGAGUGCCGGGCCGUGUGCUCCAGGCCCGUGGCGGAGUAUCCGUGACUGGUUUGGGCUCCUCUGGGUCCUGGAGCAGAGGCUGAGGCAACCGUGGGAUUAAUUUCCAUGGGUGCAGAGAGGGGAGGCGUGCCUGGAGCCAUGCCAGGCUCAGGGAAGCCUGAGAAGGGCUGGCCCUCCUCAAAGCUCCCGCCUUACUUUUACGGGAGCUUUAACUUGAGGGGGGAGGUGGCCGUGGGAGCGCCGUGCUGCCCUUGUCAGCCCCUGUCUUGGCUGAGCAGUGAGCCCUCGUGGGUGUCCUCCCUGGGCAGGAUUGGUGUGUUUCCCUGAAUCCCAGAAAUGCUGAAGAGGCUUGUGUGCUCCUGGCUGUGCUGCCUAGUGCGCUUCAGGGGCACCGAGGGGAGCCCCUGCCUGGAGCUCUCGGGCCGAGUUACGGAAGGGGCUGGUGGCUGCCUGAAGGAGCUUGCACAAAGGCCACCUCUGGGCUCCUCAUUGUGAGGCUGUGUCCCCCUUUCUCUGCUCCCCAAGCUCUUGCUCACAGCUGGGAUGGGGAAGCUUUAGAAAGUGCUUCCUCCCUUCCCUUCCCGUGCAGGGGCUGGAUUUCCUCCCUGUUGGCUGGAGCCUCCUCCCCUGGCUCCGCUGGUCGGUCAUGGCCUCAUCCCUCACCUGCUCGGGGUGUGCCUGGACUUUGCUCUCCCUGCCAGGCACCUAGGAAGAGGGCCGCUGUGCCUCUAGGCUCUACACUGGGAGCUGUGUUCUAGGGAUUUGAGUCCUUGGUCUCUUCCGACAGCCUGUCUCCACUGUGUGUGUUUGGGAACUUCAGCCUAUAGCACACCAAAUACAAGGGCGCAUUUGGCUGGGUGGAUUUUGGCGGCAGUGGUAACAUUGAUGUGUCCCCACUCUCCCUGAGAGCCCUGUCAUGAGCACGCUGUGAAGGCGCACACACGGGUUGUGUCUUUCCACAGUGACGGCUUUAUUCAGUCACCCAACAAGGCUGACGCCAUCCUAGAGCAGGUUCUGGGUUCCAAACGCAGGGACGUUUCGCCACGUGAUUAACUUGGCUUCUUCCACGGCACCCGGAGCAGAACACGAGACAGGCCACACGACAGACCAGGCAACGGAAGGGGGUCAAACGCCAAGUCAGUCUGCGGGCGCACAGUGGAGAGGAAGCCUCGGUCCCGUCCGAGCCGGCUCUCGGCACUCACUGCUCAUCACGUUCAAGCCCUGAAGGGUCUCAGGGCCGUUCGGAGACCGGUCGGGCAGAGGCCUCGGCCGCAGCUGCCCUUUUGAGGUGGUCACACGUAGAGGGGUCGUGUCUGAAGAGUCUGACGGUUUGCUGCAAAAGCCUGCCCCUUUGAAGGGGGUUUAGUUGGUCCCGGGGCCCCAGCGGACCUCCUCUGCUUCUGCUUGUCGUCAGUUCCGGGGUGUCCGCUGAUGCUGGUCUGGCCGAGAUCUCGUAGCGGCGGUGUCCUUCACUGCCUGUGUCGCUGCUUGACACAGGCCCCCGCUGGACCUGAGUGACUCCACCUUGCUGUCUGCAGCACCCCACCCUGGUGCCUGUGCCACGGUUCACUUGUUAGCCAAAGCAAGACAUCUCGGAGGCUCUUCCCUCACCUCCAGGCUCUCUCAGAACUUCUUCCCAGAUAUUCUUGAUUCUGGCUCUUCCUGUCCAUCCCUUCCACCACAUAGCCUGUCUCUGGGAUUACAGCAGUUGCCCCUCACUGGUCUUGGCUCUGUUGUAGCCCCUUGCCCCCCUUCUUCUCAUCUUACAGUGAUUGAUCUGAAAUGCAAAUCUGAUUCUUGUACUUUGCUUCUUGAAACUUCCUCGUGGACUUCUGAAUAACACUCACCUGUCUGUGCAGAGUAGUUCCCAUCCUGUGCCCCUUCGGUUGACCCCUGAGCACUUUUCCAUGUGUGUGUUAUGCCGCCACCAUACUUAACUCUUGUGUGGUGGUGGAAGGGAGAGAACAAACCUUCCCCCACCCCUUCUAAGCUCUGUGACCUUGGGCAAGUUCUCAUCAACAGAGCAGCUGAGAAAGAAGGACAGAGAGAUACAGGAAUGUCCGGCUCUCCAGAUGCCCAGGGGAGAGGGUCCCAUGGAGCAGGCACCCUGUUAGGGCAGGUAUAAAAAGGUCCGAUGGGGGAUGUUGGAUUCUGGGCUGUGUCCUUCCUUGGCAGCUGUGACAGACAAAGCACUUUGGUGCUGGCGGAGAGCACGUGGGAGGUGGGGUCAUGGAGAUAAGGCCUGCAGACAAGUCUUCAAGGAAGUUUCAGUGUGAAGGAGAGGAGAGUGUGGGGGAGGUGGAGGGAUGGGAGUUGGCUUGAAUAGGGAGGUCCAUGGAGGUCCAGAAGCAUUUGGACUUGGGCAGAGGAGUAACUGAUGACUUCACGGUCCCUGCAGAUAGAAGGGGGCUGGGCUGCAGAGUGGAGGUGGUUGCACUGAGUGCAGAGUGGCUUGAAGAGGCCUGUGUCUUCUCCACGCUCAGCCCCAACUUGCCGUCCCAGGAUUCCCUGAGGCCUGGGCCUUUCUUUGAUAUGACCAUUAUGGUUUUGUUGACUUUGCGUGAUAUGCUGUGUAAGCUUCACCUCCCCCACCCCCUUACCCAGAACCUCUUCCUGUUUUGAAGGAAGGGAGGAUGGUGUGGAUGCAAGGGACUCCCUGGGAGCCUCCAGGCCUCAGAUGAAGGCUCAGUCUCCUGCAGAGCCCUCCCAUUGUACGGGUAGGUUUCAAUGUCCCUCCUUGUGCAUCAGGGCCGGGGGCAGAGCCUUGCCAUGGCUGAUGAACCUCCUGACACACCCAUAUGCGCCGCUGAGUGAUGGUCUCUUCCAUCACACCAGCUCCCCCACAAGCUCAGAGUCUCCUGGGUUACCUUCGGUCAGGAAGUGCCAGGAACCCAGUUACUGAGCACUUCCUGAGAGUCAGGCAUGAGGUUCAGUUCCAAGAACAUGGGGGGGAAGGACAUGUCAAACGUUAGAACAGAGUGAAAAGAUAGGAGAGUGACAAGGUAACCACAGAAGACCUCUAAGGAGGUAACGUUUCAGUUGCAGUCUGAGUUACAGAAAGGGAGUGAGCUACCCUAAGAUCUGGUGGAAGACCCUUCCAGAUACAAGGAACAGCUAAUGCAAAGUGGGACUGACGCUGAAGAUGGACACAUGCUAGACCAGAGGUUGGCAGGGUGGUGGUGGUUUUUUUCUGUGAAAAGCUGGAUAGUAAAUACUUUAGGCUUUGCAGGCAUGUGGUCUCCGAUGCAGCUUCUAAGUCUGCGACUUUGUGGGAAGGGAGCCACAGACAGUACAAAUGCGAGUGUUCUCUUUCAACAAAACCUUAUUCGUCGAUGUUGAAAUUUGAGUUUCAUAUCAUUUUCAUGUGUCAAAAAAUACUUUUUUCCCAGUUAUUAAAAAAUGUAAAAGUAAGUCUUAGCUCAUGGGCCGUAUAAAACCAGAUGGCAGGAAGUAGUAUGCCAGCCCUGUGCUAGACACCGAAAAUGCUGCGUCAACUCACUGAAUCCUUCUCAGGACAUUGUGAAGAAAGGACUAUUACCAUUCUGUUUAUGGAUAAGAAAACUGAGGAAAAGAGGUCAAGAAACUUGACCGGUCUCCUCAGCUUCCCACUGCUUCAAACCCAGAGUUUGAGUCUGGUUCCUGAACUCAGCUCCCAGCCACUGUGGUCUCUGGAGCUGGAGGUUUCCGAGGUGUAGAAAGCAGGAAGCAGGAAGCAGGAAGCAGGUAUAGAGUGGAAGGUGGAGAGGGAGGCGUGCAAGGAGAUGGCGAGGCCAGCAGGGGCCAGACCACAUAGGGUGUAGAGGCCAGGAUAAAACUUUGGGAAUGGGUACUUUUUUUCACAUCAAACUUUAUUGAGGUAUAACUUACAUAUAAUAAAACAUCUAUUUUAAGUGUGGUCUGCUGGGUUUUGGUAGAUGUACACAUCUUUGUAAAUCCACCAUAGUCCAGAUGUACAACAUUCUCCCACCCUCAGAAGUUCCCUCAUUCCUCUGUGGCCAGUCCUCCCUCCACUGGGCCCCAGGCAACUACUCAUCUGCUGUUACUGUAGCUUCAGUGUCCCUUUUUUAGAAUUCACGUAAAUGGAAUGCCGUGGAGUGAACACUUUGUGUUUGACUUCCUUCACCAGGCAUAAUGUUUGGAAAUUGAGGUGGUACAGGUAUCAGUAGGUCACUCUUUGCUGCGCGGUUCCACCGAAUAGAUAUACCAUUAUUUGAGCUAUAGUUACGUCUGUCGAUGAGCAUUUCGUUUCUCUCCAGUUUGGGGCUAUUGUGAAUAAAGCUGCUGUGAAUAUUCAUGUAUACAAGUCUAUAUGUGGAUGUAUGUUUAUUUCUCUUGCUGAAAUGAUAGAAACGAUGGGUCGAAGUGUAUAAGUAACUACAUAAGAAAGUGCCAAAUUGGGGCGCCUGGGUGGCGCAGUCGGUUAAGCGUCCGACUUCAGCCAGGUCACGAUCUCGCGGUCCGUGAGUUCGAGCCCCGCGUCGGGCUCUGGGCUGAUGGCUCAGAGCCUGGAGCCUGUUUCCGAUUCUGUAUCUCCCUCUCUCUCUGCCCCUCCCCCAUUCAUGCUCUGUCUCUCUCUGUCCCAAAAAUAAAUAAACGUUGAAAAAAAAAAAAAGUGCCAAAUUAUUUGCCAAAACGUUUGCUAUCAUUUUAUGUUCCCAGUUGUUCCUUGUUCUCAAUUCAGUGUUGCCAUCCUUUUAAAGUUUAGCCAUUUUCGUGGAUGUGAGACGGUAGCUCAUUGAAACUUUAAUUUACAUUUCCCCAAUGACCAUGGUGUUGAGUAUCUUUUCAAAUGUGUUUUACUGGCCAUUUGUAUAUCUUCUUUUGUGAAGUGUCUGUUCAAAUCUUUUGCCCUUACAAUAUGGAUCGUUUAUCUUAUCAAGUUUUAAGAAUUCUUUACAUAUUCAGGAUGUGGGUUCUUUGCCAUAUAUAUACAUAUACAUAUACAACAUAUAUAUAUAUAUAUAUAUAUAUAUAUAUAUAUAUAUGUUGCAAAUUUGUUCCCACAGUCUAUGGCUUGCCUUUUAAUUUUCUUACCAGUAUCUUAAGCAGGGGACACUUUUAAUUUUGAUGAAGUCCAGUUUGUCAGUGUUUUUUCCUUUAUGGUGUGAGUAGAGGUAAAGGGUCGUAGUUUUCCACAUGUAUAUGCUGUCAUUCUAGCACCAUGUUUUGAAGACCAUCCUCUCCCCAUUGUGUUACCUUAAGAUCUUUGUUGAAAAUCAAUUGAGAUGGGAAUGCAAGCUGGUGCAGCCACUCUGGAAAACAGUAUGGAGGUUCCUCAAAAAACUAAAAAUAGAACUACCCCACGACCCAGCAAUUGCACUACUAGGCAUUUACCCACGGGAUGCAGGUGUGCUGUUUCCAAGGGACACAUGCACCCCAGUGUUUAUAGCAGCACUAUCGACAAGAGCCAAAAGUAUGGAAAGAGCCCAAAUGUCCAUCGAUGGAUGAAUGGAUAAAGAUGAUGUGGUUUAUAUAUACAAUGGAGCAUCACUCGGCAAUCAAAAAGAAUGAAAUCUUGCCAUUUGCAACUGCGUGGAUGGAACGGGAGGGUAUUAUGCUAAGUGAAAUUAGUCAGAGAAAGGCAAAUAUCAUAUGAUUUCACUCAUGAAGACUUUAAGAGGCAAAACAGAUGAACAUAAGUGAAGGGAAUAAAAAUAAUAUAAAAACAGGGAUGGGGACAAAGCAUAAGAGACUCUUAAAUAUGGAGAACAGAGGGUUACUGGAGGGGUUGUGGGAGGGGGGAUGGGCUAAAUGGGGGAGGGGCACUAAGGAAUCAUUGUUGCACUAUAUGCUAACUAAUUUGGAUGUAAAUUAAAAAAAUAAAAUAAAAUUAAUUUAAAAAAAUCAAUUGAGGGGCACCUGGGUGGCUAAGUUGACCAUCGGUUCUUGAUUUCAGCUCAGGUCAUGAUCUCAUGGUUGUGAGAUCGAGCCCCACCUUGGGCUGGGUGCUGACAGCAAAGAGCCCACUUGGGAUUCUCUCGCUCUUUGUCUCUCUCUCUCUGACCCUCCCCUGCUCUCUCGCUCGCUUGCUGUCUCUCAAAAUAAAUAAAUAUUAAAAAAAAAAUCAACUGACGGUUUAUUCGUGGGUGUAUUUUCAGGAAUUUUCUAUGUUGUUCAUUGAUCCUAUGCUAAUAUCCCACAGACCUGAUUAUUAGAGCUUUAUAAUAAUUCUUUUUUUUUUUUUAAUUUUUAAAAAAUUUUUUUUUUCAAUGUUUAUUUAUUUUUGGGACAGAGAGAGACAGAGCAUGAACGGGGGAGGGGCAGAGAGAGAGGGAGACACAGAAUCCGAAACAGGCUCCAGGCUCUGAGCCGCCAGCCCAGAGCCCGAUGCGGGGCUCGAACUCACGGACCGCGAGAUCGUGACCUGGCUGAAGUCGGACGCUUAACCGACUGCGCCACCCAGGCGCCCCGCUUUAUAAUAAUUCUUGAGAUCAAGUAGUGUAAGUUGUCCAACUUGUCUUCUCUCUUUUUUAUUUGAGAGAGAGAGUGAGCGAGCAUGAAUGGGGCAGAGGGGGAGAGAGAGAGAGAGAGAGAGAGAGAAUCUUAAGCAGGCUCCAUGCUCAGUGCAGAGCUUGAUGUGGGGCUCAAUCCCACGACCCUGGGAUCAUGACCUGAGCUGAAAUCAAGAGUCAGAUGCUCAACCGAGCCACCUGGGCGCCCAGCUUCUUCUCUUUUUCAAGUCAUUUUGGCUUUUCAAGAUAUUAAGCAGUUCUAUAUAAAUUUUAGAAUUAGCUUGUCAGUUUUUCCAAAUGGCUCUCUGAGAUUUUGAUUGGGAUUGUAUUGAAGCUUUAGAUCUAUUUUGGGGAGAAUUGAUAUUUUAACAAUAUAGAAAAUAGUGUAUUUCUACAUUUAUUUAGUUCUCGGUUGUUAACCAUAAAAGUAAAAAUGCAUUUAUUUUGCCAGCAAAAAUUUGUGUUUAUUUGUGUAUAGCAGAGAAUUGCAAUCUCGGACAAGCAAGCCACAGGCAAGUGUACACAAGGAAGGGGAGGAAUAGAGCAAAGCAGAGCAAGCCACAGGCAAGUGUACACAAGGAAGGGGAGGAAUAGAGCAAAGCAGAGGGCCGCCGUUUUAUAGAGGAGAGGGGGGUUGGAGUAAACUGGGGGUUGUAAGUAUACUGGCUUAUCAUUGGCUGGGCUGUUGCUGCAGGAGAAUGAAAUCUUCUUGCUAGGGUAGUAAAGCAGUAAGGCUGGGCACGGUUUGUUUCCUCCUAAGAGAUGUGCAAUUGACGAGCAGUGGGGCGGGGUCAGCGAGGACUCCCCCUGCUGGCCUCCCGACUGCCUUCUCAUUACUGAUCCUCACAUCCCCUUUUGAUUAAAAUCUCUUUUUGCGGGUGUCACUAAUCAAGAGGCAGGUUCUCCACAUUUGCUGGUUUUGCCCAUUAGUACCAGGGAAGACUUUUCCUGAUCGUCAUGUCCUAUGUGAGAAGGAAACUGCACAGCAUUUCACUUAAGGCCACAUUUGAGUAACAAAGAAGGUUAGGACAGAGAACUCAAAGGUACUUCCCAUCUGUCUUCCAUAUAUUUUUUUUUAUUAAAAAAUUUGUUUAAGUUUAUUUAUUUAUUUUGAGAGAGAGUUAGAGCAGAGGAGGGGCAGAGAGACAGGGAGAGAGAGAAAAUCCCAAGCGGGCUUCACACCAUCAGCACGGAGCCUGAUGUGGGGCUCAAACUCAUGAACCGUGAGCUCAUGACCUAAGCCUUACCCAACUGAGCCACCCAGGCGCCCCCAUAUUUUUUUAAGUUUUUUUUUUAAUGUUUAUUUAUUUUUGAGAGAGAGAUAGGGUGCAAGCAGGGGAGGAGGAGAGAGAGAGGGAGACACAGAAUCCAAAACAGGCUUCAGGCUCCAAGCUGUGAGCAUGGAGCCCGAAGUGGGGGCUCGAACUCAUGAACCGCGAGAUCAUGACCUGAGCCGAAGUUGGACGCCCAACAGACUGAGCCACCCAGGCGCCCCCACAUCUUCUUUAUCCAUUCAUCCAUCAAUGGACAUUUGGGCUCUUUCCAUACUUUGGCUAUUGGUGAUAGCACUGCUCUAAACAUUGGGGUGCAUGUGUCCCUUCAAAACAGCAUACCUGUAUCCCUUGGGUAAAUACCUAGUAGUGCAAUUGCUGGGUCAUAGGGUAGUUCUAUUUUUAAUUUUUUGAGGAACCUCUGUACUGUUUUCCAGAGCGGCUGCACCAGCUUGCAUUCCCACCAACAAUGCAAAAGAGAUCCUCUUUCUCCGCAUCCUCGCAUCCUUGCCAACAUCUGUUGUUGCCUGAGUUGUUAAUGUUAGCCAUUCUGACAGGUGUGAGGUGGUAUCAUCUCAUUGUGGUUUUGAUUUGUAUUUUCCUGAUGAUGAGUGAUGAUAAGCAUUUUUUCAUGUGUCGGUUGGCCAUCUGGAUGUCUUCCUUGGAGAAGUGUCUAUUCAUGUCUUUUGCCCAUUUCUUCACUGGAUUGUUUUUUGGGUGCUGAGUUUGACAAGUUCUUUCUAGAUUUUGGAUACUAACCCUUUAUCUGAUAUGUCGUUUGCAAAUAUCUUCUCCCAUUGUGUCGGUUGCCUUUUAGUUUUGCUGAUUAUUUCCUUUGCUGUGCAGAAGCUUUUUAUUUUGAUGAGGUCCCAUUAGUUCAUUUUUGCUUCUGUUUCCCUUGCUUCCAGAGAUGUGUUGAGUAAGAAGUUGCUGUGGCCAAAAUCAAAGGAGUUUUUGCCUGCUUUCUCCUUGAGGAUUUUGAUGGUUUCCUGUCUUACAUUUAGGCCUUUCAUCCAUUUUGAGUUUAUUUUUGUGUCUGGUGUAAGAAAGUGGUCCAGGUUCAUUUUUCUGCAUGUUGCUGUCCAGUUUUCCCAGCACCACUUGCUGAAGAGACUGUCCUUAUUCCAUUGGCUAUUCUUUACUGCUUCGUCAAAGAUUAGUUGGCCAUACGUUUGUGAGUCCAUUUCUGGGUUCUCUAUUCUGUUCCAUUGAUCUGAGUGUCUGUUUUUGUGCCAAAAAUGUUUAUUUAUUUUUGAGAGAAAGAGAGAGAGACAGAGUGAGAGUGGGGGAUGGGCAGAGAGAGAGAGAGGGAGACACAAUCUGAACCAGGCUUCAGGCUCUGAGCUGUCAGCACAGAGCCCAAUGCCGGGCUCCAAUUCCCAAACCGCAAGAUCAUGACCUGAGCCGAAGUCGGAUGCUUAACUGACUGAGCCACCCAGGUGACCCCACCCCCCGCUUUUUUUUAGUGUUUAUUUUGAGAGAGACCAAGUGCGUGUGCACAUCCCAACACAGAGCUCAAUCCCACGAACUGUGAGAUCGUGACCUGAGCCGAAAUCAAGAGUCUGACGCUUAACCGACUGAGACCCCCAGAUACCCCUGGAGGUCUCCACCUAGACCUUCAUGAAGGCAGAGGAGCACACUGAGGAACUAACCAGGUGCAUUUGAGAAGGUGCAGUGACGGUAUAAACAUGAAGCGAUAGCUGAUGAAUUUUGUGCAAAACAGCAAAACUUCAGAGAUGGUUUAAAACAGAAUUGUUAUCUCAAAAGAAUUGUUUGGAACCAAACGUGUUACAGAUCAGAUAGUAUAGCCUAUAGGGUUGCAAAUUCAGAGACGUGAAUUUGAAUAAGAAUCCAAAGUCAGUUAAUAUUUCAGUUGAAAGAAGACUUUUGUGAAUUCUGAACCUUCUAGCCCUUCAGAAAAAGCAAGUGAAAAAUUAAUUUCUCAUGGGAUCACGAUGAGGUUGUUUCUGAAGGGCCAUAAUCAUAGAAGUUUCCCCCUUUCCCAAGGGCUUGGGAAAUGCAGACAAGGGCAUUGUCUUUCCAUGAAAAAGAGAUAAGAAACAACAGUGAGAAAAAGGUACAGAGGCCUAGUCUGGACGUCUUAGGAAAGCUGUCUCUUCAGAUGCCGUCUGCCUCAGUUUGGGGGGGUCUUUAUUCCAGGUGACCAGAUGUGCAGGGCUAGGCAGGCUCUGGUGCUUUCUUUAGAUGUAUCACGUGAAUCCAAGAGUCUCUUCCGAAGACUUUGGUGAACAAAGGGUGGUUACAGGACCUGAUAAGGGCCUUUUCAGAGAAGUUAGAGUCUAAAAUGUUCAGGUUACAAGGUGUGAUGCUCCAGGUCAUUGUCUCCUGGGAAUGCACGGUGAAGAGAUUAUCAAAGCAUGGUUACUUCUUUUUUUUUUUUUUUUUUAAAGAUUUUAUUCAUUUUUGUUUAAGUAAUUUCUACACCCAGUGUGGGGCUCAAACUCAUAACCCCGAGAUCAAGAGUCACAUGCUCUACCAACUGAGCCAGCCAGGCUCCCCAAAGCAUGGUUGCUUUUAUUAGAAGCAAUUAUAGCUUUACAAUAUUGAAAUACAUCUUCUUUUUUCAACUGUCAGUCAAAGGAGGGAGAAUCCAAGUGCACUGGAUGUCUUAUGACUACCUCAAAGGCUAAAAACUUGUGAGUUUCCAAGGGAGUGAAUCUGAGGUUUAGAAGGACUAAUGGCAAUGCUUUUAGCCAAGGUACUUGGAGGGUCCCUACCAACUGUGCUAGUUGAGUUUCAGUGCCACAGUUAGUACACGCAGCCAACUCUGAGGAUUGAAGGUAGGGUACAAAUUGAAUGUGUUGUUGAACUGGCCAGUGAAAUGAGUUCCCUGAUGACUGCAAAGUUCAAGAGGAGAUCCCUGGGUAGGGAUAAUCUUUUCUAAUAGAAUGUAAUUUUUUUUUUAAUGUUUAUUUAUUGUUGAGAGAGACAGAGCAUGAGCAGGGGAGGAACAGAGAGAGAGGGAGACACAGAAUCUGAACCAGGCUCCAGGCUCUGAGCUGUCAGCACAGAGCCUGACACGGGGCUAGAACCCAUGAACCUUGAGAUCAUGACCUGAGCUGAAGUCAGACGCUUAACCGACUGAGCCACCCAGGCGCUCCCUUUUCUAAUAGAAUUUUAGCCACAGAAGAAGCAUUGGCCCGUCUAGAAAAGAAAGCUUUGGUCCAGUGAGAAACCAUACAAACCAUGACUAAAACAUAUAUAUUUAUACCUGCGAGAUGGGAAAGCUGUGUGAAAUCCACUUGUGUGAACAGAUUUCCCUGGAUUAUACUUUGGAUUGGUGGGAAAGCAAGGUAGAUGCUAUGGGCACCCUUUCUUCUAUUUCUCCACAGAUAGUGGUUCAUGAAUGCUACCAUUCUGUCAGUAGACCAUGAUUUAAUGCAUGUAUGGAGGGAGGUAGUGCGAACUUUAGAAUUUCUGGGAAGGCUGGAUUGUUAUUUGGUUCAAACCAGAGUUCUCUUCUUGUUGAGCCGGUAAUUACUAGAUUUCCAAUACUGUUUUUCAUCUCUGGGGCCAAUUCUUGGAUAUCUUUUAUCAACUUUUCCAAAUCAUCAUUUGGGAGAACAUCCUUUUGGACCAUGACAAAGGUUUUGGCCAUUGGUUUCCUUGAAAGCAGCAUUUUUUCUAUGGAAAAUGUUUCUGGUUUUGUCAUGGAUGAAGAUACAAGCUAGAGUAAGCUGCAGAGCUCAGGCUAUCGUGUUGGAGUGGCCGGAGGUCAUGGUGCCGUCUCAGUGACUUCAAGAGGGUGCAAUAGUAUACCCAGCACCAUAUUUACCAUUUUCAUCCUUUAUCGUUUUAACAUUUAAAAAAAUGUUUAUUAAUUUUUGAGAGAGAGAGACAGAGACAAAGACAGAAAGAGACAGAGCGCGAGCAGGGGAGGGGCAGAGAGAGAGGGAGACUCAGAAUCUGAAGCAGGCUCCGGACUCUGAGCUGUCAGCACGGAGCCCCUUGUGGGGCUCGAACCCACAGACCAGACGGCAAGAUCAUGACCUGAGCCAAAGUCAGAUGCUCAACCGACUGAGCCACCGACGCCCCAUUCUUUUUUUUUUUUUUUAAGAUUUUUAAAAAAUUUUUAAAUAAUCUCUACACCCAACGUGGGGCUUGAACCUAUGACCUUAAGAUCAAGAGUCACAUGGUCCACUGACUGAGCCAGCCAGUCCCAUUUUCAUCCUUUAAGAACCAUUAGUAGACUAUGAAACAUCUGCAUUGGCUAAAGGAGUUUCCUGCAAAUUGUCAUGGGGGUCAGAAGGUGAUCUGUCAGCAUUAAGCAGUCAUGAGGGGUUUUGUCUGGGUCCAAAUGUAGUCUUUGCUUCAAGAUCAGAUGCCCAAAGUUUUGAACCUGAGUUUGAGCAAAUUGAAGGUUUUUUGUGGGGUUCAGAGUGACUGUCUCUCUCUCUCUCUCUCUCUCUCUCUCUCUCUCUCUUUUUGUUUUAAUUUGGAGAUUGAACAACAUUAUUUUAUUUUACUUAUUUAUUUUUUAAAAUAAUUUACAUCCAAAUUAGUUAGCAUAUAGUGUAACAAUGAUUUCAGGAGUGGAUUUCUUAAUGCCCCUUACCCAAUUAGCCCAUCUCUCCUCCCACAACCCCUCCAGUAACCCUCUGUUCUCCAUAUUUAAGAGUCUCUUAUGUUUUAUCCCCCUCCCUGUUUUUAUAUUCUUUUUGUUUCCCUUCCUUUAUGUUCCUCUGUUUUGCCUCUUAAAGUCUUCAUGAGUGAAAUCAUAUGAUAUUUGCCUUUCUCUGACUAAUUUCACUUAGCAUAAUACCCUUCUGUUCCAUCCACGUAGUUGCCAAUGGCAAGAUUUCAUUCUUUUUGAUUGCCGAGUGAUACUCCAUUGUAUAUAUAAACCACGUCAUCUUUAUCCAUUCAUCCAUCGAUGGACAUUUGGGCUCUUUCCAUACUUUGGCUCUUGGCGAUAGUGCUGCUAUAAACAUGGGGGUGCAUGUGUCCCUUUGAAACAGCACACCUGCAUCCCGUGGGUAAAUGCCUAGUAGUGCCAUUCCUGGGUCGUAGGGUAGUUCUAUUUUUAGUUUUUUGAGGAACCUCCAUACUGUUUUCCAAAAUGGCUGCACCAGCUUGCAUUCCCACUUUCUGUCUCUUUAAGGCCAAAAGUUUUAACAUGUGGAUGCUCUCCUGUGAAGUGGCAGGAGGAGGGGAGCAGAGAAGCAAAUCAUCUACAUAUUGUGACAAAGUAGAGCCUGCAGAAAACUUGCUGUCAUCCAAAUUGGCUUUUAAGGUGUGUGAAAAGUAAGAAGAAGUCUCUGUAGGCCUAGGGCAUUACUGUCGAGGCGGAUUCCUGUUCUUCCCAAGUGAAGGGAAACAGAUUCUGGCUGGCUAUCCUUAUCGGCUGGAAAACUAAAUGUACUCUUCGGUCAAUUACAGUGAAAAAUUUGCUUUCAUUGGGAAUGGACGUUAGCACAUGUGGGUUAGGAACAAGAGGGUGUUGAGGGAUAACAGUGUUAUUUAUUGCUGGGAGGUUCUGGACAAACUUCCCUUCUGUGGCCAUUGGGUUUUCUUACAGGUAAAAUGGUAUUACAGGGACUAGUGCAGGGGAUGAUGGGGCCCUAAGCCUCCUAACCUGUUAUGGGCUUGAUGCCUUCCAGGGCUUACCUAUAGGUAUUAAUUCUGGGGAGAGGGUUUGAGGUGACCUAUUUUUUUUUUUUAACGUUUGUUUGUUUGUUUGCUUGCUUAUUUAUUUGUUUGUUUGUUUAUUUAUUUAUUUAUGAGAGAGAGAGAGAAAAUGCAUGAGUGCAAGAGGGGCAAAGAGAGAGGGAGACACAGAAUGUGAAGCAGGCUCCAGGCUCUGAGCUGUCAGCACAGAACCCCACGCGGGGCUCGAGCUCACAAGCCGUGAGAUCAUGACCCAAGCCCCCCAGACACCCCUCGAGGGAUCCAUUGGAAUCUUGAGGGGAGGUGCCUUGUGGAUUCUGCAAAUAUCAGUUGAGGAUUUUGCCCAUAAACAGGGUGGCAGUGAGAGUCAGAAACAGAAAAUAAAAGACAGCAAAGCAUGAUUUAACUGCCCUGGUUGGCUAUUUUGAUUACUGUUGUAAAAUCCUAGAAUUAUUUCCCUCCUUUGUGAGAAAAAAAUUCUGGCAUGAUACUUUUCUAAGACCUCAAUCCAAUAACUGAAUAGGUUGGAAGAACUAAGGAGAAAAGGGUAGGUGUCUCUCAGAGGCCUAGACAGAGAGUGGGCUCAGAGACAGGUUUAUUACAAGUUUAUUAGAGACCCCGACUGUCUGAGCUGUUUGAGUACCUCGAGGCAGGUAGCCGGGCACCAGGAUUGUAGCUGUGCUGUCCGUUAGGACAGAAACAUUCAUUCCUGAUCUAUGGAGUGGUUUCUCCAAGCCGAUCACAAGAGGGAGGGCUGUGAAGAGCCUUGUAGUCCCUCGGAGCCCCACCAUGGGGAAUGAGGACUUUGCAAAGGCUGGCGAGAGGGCCGAGGGCACCUGGAGUGCUCUGCCGGUGUCCUGGCACUCUGCGGUGACAACAGAGACUUGAGGGGUUUGGUUUGUUCCGGGAGCUUCUUUCCCAGAGUUGAAAAUUAAGAAUUUUAUUGGUCUUUCUUUUAUGUGACUCAUCUAGCAUAUGACUGAUGUGGUCUGCCAGAUUAAAUCUGGGGCUGACAUCGUUGCAUCCUGGUCCUUUUAACUAAAGGAGAAAGACCACUUUAGCCUGUUUGUAACCGCAGAGUUGAGCGCUCCCUGGGUGGAGCCGGUUGCUGAAGGAGGACCAGAAGUUUUUUUAAAGACAGUUUGGAGCCAGUUGUAAUUAUGAACAGGUUCAUCAGGCUUCUGUGUACAAGCCUGACUUUUAUUCCAGUCUGCAGGCUUGAGAAAAGCUGUUGAGGGCCAUCUGGGUGGCUCUGGCAGUUAAGAGUCCAAAUUUGGCUCACCUGUCCUUGCUCUGUAGAGGUUUCUAGCUAGUGUGCUGGUAUCUUGCCCACAGCUAGGGGUUUGUUUCUCUAAAAUCCCUUCAGGAUGUUCCCUUUUGGCUAGCUUUAUCCUACAUUUGGCCUGGCACUCACCAAUAUGUGUGGCCUAAUUGAUAAAAAUCUGAGAGACCAGGUAGAGAAGUUUGAAUCACUAUGUUAAACUCUUCAGCAAACCCAGGAGAGUCUUCAGUUACUUUACUUUUUGUUUUUAAUGUUUAUUUAUUUAUUUUGAGAGAGAGAGAAUGGAGGAGAGAGGGUGGGGAGGGGCAGAGAGAGAGGGAGAGAGUGAGAAUCUCAAGCAGGUUCCGUACUGUCAGCACAGAGCCUUACACGGGGCUCGAACCCACAACCCUCGGAUCAUGACUUGAGCUGAAAUCAACAGUCGGAUGCUCAACCCCCUGAGCCACCCAGGCGCCCCCAGAAGACUUAACUUUGAAGGGCCAAGUUUUAAUAGAUUCAGGAGAGGAGGGAGAGGGGAGAGGUUCAAAGGAAAAGGCAAGUUUGGCAGAGAAAGGAAAAAAGCACUGGGCGUAAGUAGCUGCUGCAUCUGCAGACAAAGAGGAUGGGGAAGGGGCAGGAGGCCUCAGAAGCCAUUGUGACUCCUGUUAAUUGUUGGUUUGCCUCAGUUAACUUAGAAACAGUAUUUUUUGGCGCGCCUGGGUGGGCCCAUCAGUUAAGUGUUGGUCUCUUGAUCUCGCUCAGGUCAUGGUGUCCCGGCCAGUGAGUUUGAGCCUUGAGUCGGGCUCCAUGCGGACAGUGUGGAGCCUGCUUGGGAUUCUCUCUCUCUCCCUCUCUCUCUGCCCCUCCUCUGCGUGUGGGCGCUCUCUCUCUCUCUCUCAAAAUAAAUGAAUAAAUUUAAAAGAGAAAUAGUAUCUUUCUUUUCUUUUUUGUAAUGUUUAUUUAUUUUUGAGAGAGAAGGUAUGAGCAGGAGAGGGGCAGAGGACGGAGGGCAGUGGGGGACAGAGGAUCUGAAGCAGGCUCAGCACUGACAGCAGACAGCCUGAUACGGGGCUCAAACUCUGAAACCAUGAGAUCAUGACCUGAGCUGAAGUCAGACAGUCAACUGACUGAGCCACCCCAGUGCCCAAAAUAGUAUUUUUCAAAGAGGCAAAUUUAGAAUCCUGAAAAUAUUUGGGAGCCUCAAGAUACCAUUUAAAGUAGGCAUCCCAAGGGGUGCCUGGGUGGCUCAGUUGGCUGAGCGUCUGACUUCAGCUGAGGUCAUGAUCUCGCGGUCUGUGGGUUCGAGCCCUGCGUCGGUCUCUGUGCUGACAGCUCAGAGUCUGGAGCCUGCUUCAGAUUCUGUGUCUCCCUCUCUCUCUGCCCUCCCCUGCUCAUGCUCUGUCUCUUUAUCUGUCAAAAAUAAAUAAACAUUAAAAAAUAUUUUUUUUUAUAUAAUAAAGUAGGCAUCCCUGGGGCGCCUGGGUAGCUCAGUCGGUUAAGUGUCUGACUUCAGCUCAGGUCAUGAUCUCACACCCUGUGAGUUCGAGCCCCGUGUCGGCAACGCUCUGUGCUGACAGCUCAGAGCCUGGAGCCUGGUUCAGAUUCUGUGUCUCCCUCUCUCUCUGCCCCUCCCCUGCUCAUGCUCUGUCUCUCUCUGCCUCAAAAAUUAAUAAAAAUAAAAUAAAAUAAAAUAAAAUAAAAUAAAAUAAAAUAAAAUAAAGUAGGCAUCCCAUUCAGAGUAUCUCCCUUCCCUUCCCUUCCCUUCCCCAUAAUGGCCAUUAAAGUUCUAAAUUACUUUUGGUUAAGUCAGUCCAUUUACUUAUAAAUGAGCAUGUGGAGAGACCAUAGUUUUUAUUUUUAUUUAUUUUUUUAAAUAUUUUUUUUAACGUUUAUUGACUUUUUGAGAGACAGAGACAGAGCACGAGCAGGGGAGGGGCAGAGAGAGAGAGGGAGACAUAGAAUCUGAAGCAGGCUCCAGGCAUUGAGCUGUCAGCACAGAGCCUGAUAUGGGGCUCGAACUCUCGAACCUGUGAGAUCAUGAUCUGAGCUGAAGUUGGACGCCCAACCAACUGAGCCACCCAGGUGCUCCCCCCCCUUAUUUUAUAAUUUUUUUUUUAUUGUUUCUUUAUUUUUGAGACAGAGAGACAGAGCAUGAGGCAGGGGAAGGGCAGAGACACACACACACACACACACACACAGAGGCAGAAACUGAAGCAGUCUCCAGGCUCUGAGCUAUCAGCCCAGAGCCCAACCGGGGGCUCGAACUCACGAGCCAUGAGAUCAUGACCUGAGCCAAAGUCGGAUGCUUGACCAACUGAGCCACCUGAGACCAUAGUUUUUAAAUGUUUGUUUAUUUUGAGAGAGAGUGAGCACAGCAGAGAGGCAGAGAGAGAGAAUUCCAAGCAGACUCUGCUCUGUCAGCACAGAGCCUGACGUGGGGCUCAAACUCACGAACUGUGAGAUCAUGAGCUGAGUCGAAAUUAAGAGUUGGAUGCUUAACCAGAUGAGCCACCUGGGUGCCCUGAGACCAUAGUUUUCAAACUUAAAACCAGUAGGGAGGACAUACUCAAAGCACUUAUGAUCCCUAGAGGCUUUUCUCUAGAGCAAAGAGAAUAAUCCCUAAACAGCACACUUUCAGUGGGAACAGCCUGGCUCCAGAAGGAAUCAGACCAAAGGCCAGCAUGGUUCCAAAAGGAACAGUCUAGUUCCAAGUGGGAGUCGGACUGAGGCCAAAUGGGUUAUUCUCAGAAAAAAACAAGGCCUUGAAACAGACACUGAACAGCAUUGAGAGCUCGAACAGAGAGGAGAGCUUGGAAUCCAGGAGAAAAUUUCCCCUCACACUUCAGGGUGGGUAAGAAAGCACUGAGCUCAGUUGGCGCUGUGGGUACGAGUACCUGCUUGCCCAACAGCCUCAGAUUUGUUGGGGGUCUUCCGGGCCUCACUUCUGAUCACCAAGUAAUGUUAACCUUAAAGAUAAAACUGCCACUUUUUUUUUUUUUUAAUAUUUAUUUAUUUUUGAGACAGGGAGAGACAGCAUGAACGGGGGAGGGUCAGAGAGAGAGGGAGACACAGAAUCUGAAGCAGGCUCCAGGCUCUGAGCUGUCAGCACAGAGCCGGACGCGGGCUCAAACUCACAGACUGCGAGAUCAUGACCUGAGCCGAAGUCAGAUGCUUAACCGACUGAGCCACCCAGGCGCCCCAAACUGCCACUUAUUUUAUCCGUGAAAAUGGGUUUAUUUGGGAAUAGCAGGGAAUUGCAUCCCGGGACAAGAAAGCUCUGUCAGAAGCACAGGCAGGUCUGCAAAGCACAGGAGAGCAAGGCUCUUUAGGGAGGAAAGGGGGUGAGGAGGAGGGGCUGUUGGCAACUAAAAGUCCUGCGGCAGGCAGAGGCAGGAAAGCAGUAGCCCCCUGGAAGGCUCCUGGUGGGUGCGGAAUUGACACGAGAGCUCCCUCUGCUGGCCGCCAGACUCCAUUCUAAAUAAGGUUUCGUUUUAUUAAUUUCACACUGUAUUGUCUAUUGAUGUGUAUCACGUUACCCUAAAAGAUAGGGGCUUGAAACAGCAGACAUUUGUUAUCUAACAGCUGCUGUAGGUCAGGAAUUCAAAAAUGGCUUAGCUAGGUGGUUCCCGUUCAAGUUAUCAUGUGGUUGCGUUAGGAUAGCCAGGGCUGCAUCAGCUGAGGGCUGGACUGGGGCCGGAGGACCUGCUCACAAGCUAGCUGUCCCCAGCUCUCGCUCAUGGGCUUUUCCAUAGACUCCUCAAGUGCCUCAGCAUACUAGCUAAUUUCCUCCAGCCUCAGAGAUCCAAGAGAGGGCAAGCAAGAGGCUGCAUGACCUUUUAUGACCUAACCUCUGAAGUUAUCCACUGCCAUUUCUGCUUUUGUUUGUUUUCUGUUUGUUAGAGGUGAGUACCCAGGGGCUCCCGGGUGGCUCAGUUGGUUGAGUGUCUUGAUUUCGGCUUAGGUCCUGAUCUUGAGGUUUGUGAGUUUGAGUCCCACAUUGGGUUCUGCACUGACAGUGUAGAGCCUGCUUGGGAUUCUCUCUCUCUCCUUCUCUCUCUGCCACUGUCCCGCUCAUGCUCUGCCUCUCUCAAAAUAAAUAAAUAAACUUAAAAAAGAAGUGAGUAACUAAAUCCAACCCAUACUGAGGGAGAAGUGGAUUAGGCUCUACCUUUUUUUGUUUUUAAUUUUUUUUUAACAUUUAUUUAUUUUUGAGAGAGAGAUGGAGUAUGAAUAGGGGGAGGGGCAGAGAGAGAGGGAGACACAGAAGCCAAAGCAGGCUCCAGGCUCCGAGCUGUCAGCACAGAGCCUGACGCGGGGGUCAAACCCACAAACCGUGAGAUCAUGACCUGAGCCGAAGUCGGACGCUCAGCCAACUGAGCCCCCCAGGCGCUCUAGGCUCUACCUUUUGAAGGGAGUAUCAAAGUAUUCCAUACUUUGUGAUAUUAAUUUUGUAGAUAAUAAUGAACAUUUUACACUUUCCAGUUGUUCGUUGCCAGUACAGACAUACAGUUAAUUUUGACAUUGUCCUUGUAUUUCACAGCCUUGCUAAAUAUACUUCUUUAUUCUAGUAUCUCUAUUGUAGAUACCUAAGGAUUUUCUUAAGCUUAUUUAUUUAUUUUGAGAGAGACAGAGCACGAGUGGGGGAGGGGCAGAAAGAGAGGGAGAGAGAGAAUCCCAAGCAGGCUGUGUGCUGUCAGUGUAGAGACUGACUCGGGGCUCAAACCCCCGAACUGUGAGAUCAUGACCUGAGCUGAAACCCAAGAGUUGGCUGUUUAACUGACUGAGCCCCCUGGUGCCCUCCUAAGGAUUUUCUACAUAUCUUCUACAUACCUUUCUACAUGCUUUCUGAAUCUAAAGAGUCUUACAUUUUCCUUUCCAAUUUGCAUGCUUUUUGUUUCUUGGCUUAGUGCACUGGCUGGGACCUCUAGUACAAGGUUGAACAGGAUUGGUGUCCCUGAUCCUAGGAGGAAAGUGUUCGUUCCUUUCCCAUUAGGCAUGAUUUAGCUGAGGAAUUUUCCUUCUAUUCCUAGUUUUCAAAGUUUUUUUAUUUGUUUAAUUUUACAGAGAAAGUGCAAUUGAGGGGGGGAGAGAGAGAGAGAGAAUGAGAAUUUUAAGCAGGCUCCACGCUCAGUGUAGAGCCUGAUGCAACGCUUGAUCCCAUGAUCCUGGGAUGGUGACUUGAGCUGAAAUCAAGAGUUAGAUGCUCAACUGACUGGCCACCAGGAGCCCCAAAGUUUGUUUGAUUUUUAUCAUGAUCAGAUGUUGGAUUUUGCCAAAUGCAUUCUCUACUUUUAUUGUUUUGAUUGUAUUUUGAUUUUUAAAGUGUUAAACCAAUUUUUUAUUCUUGAAAUAUACCCGACUUGGUCAUGAUGUAUUAUUCUUCUUAUAUAUUGCUGGUUUCAAUUUGAUAAUAAUGUUGAAAGGAUUUUUGAAGCUAUUCAUAAAUAAAUUGGUGUGUAGUAUUUUUUUUUUUAAUGUUUGUUUAUUUUGGAGAGAGACAGGGUGGGGUGGGGGGUGGGGGAGAGUACGUGCACACACAAGCAGGGGACGGUGAGGAGUAGAGAGUGAGGGAGACAGAGGAUCCAAAGCAGGCUUCAUGCUGUCAGCACAGAGUCCCAUGUGGGGCUCGAACUCACAAACUCUGAGAUCAUGACCUGAGCUGAAGUCAAGAUGAUUAAGCCACUGAGCCACCCAGGCGCCCUGGUAUAUAGUAUUCUUAACUUGUUAUGUCUUUGGUUUUAGUGUCAGGGUAAUAGUGGCCUUACAAAAUGACUUAGGGACAUGUUCCUUUCUCUUCUAUUUUUAGAAAGGGCUUUUGGGGGCGCCUGGGUGGCGCAGUCGGUUGAGCGUCCGACUUCAGCCAGGUCACGAUCUCGCGGUCCGUGAGUUCGAGCCCCGCGUCGGGCUCUGGGCUGAUGGCUCAGAGCCUGGAGCCUGUUUCCGAUUCUGUGUCUCCCUCUCUCUCUGCCCCUCCUCCGUUCAUGCUCUGUCUCUCUCUGUCCCCAAAAUAAAUAAACGUUGAAAAAAAAAAAAAAAAAAAGAAAGGGCUUUUGUAGAUUUGGUAUUAUUUCUACCUUAAGUGUUUGAUGUAAUUUACCAGUGAAACCAUCUGGGCUUAGAGUUACUUUUUUGGGGAAAGUUUCUUACUGUAAAUUUAAUUUCUUUAAUAGAUACAGGGCUAUUCAAAUUUUCUGUUUCUUCUUGAAUUCAUUUUGAUAAUUUGUUUCAUUCAGGUAAUUUGCCCAUUUAUCUAAGUUAAACAUGGCAGUUUUUUCCAUACAAGGCCAAAUGGUAAAUAUUUUAGGUUUUUCAGGUCAUGUGGUCUCUGUUGCAGCUACUCAACUAUGUUGUGGUAGCACAAAACAGCCAUAGACAAUACAUAAACAAGCUAGUAUAGCUAUAUUCUCAUAAAGCUUCAGUUACAGUAACAUGUGGUAGACCAGAUUUGGUCUAUGGGUUAUAGUUUGUUGACCCUUGACCUAAGUUGUUGAAUUUAUUGUCAUAAAUUGUUCAGAACACUGUCAUUUUAAUCUUUUUAAUGGUCUGUAAGAUCUGUAGUGAUGUCCACUUUUUCAUUCAUGAUGUUGGUAGUUUUUGUCUUUUCCUUUCUUGAUCAGUUGAGUAAGAGUAUCAAUUUUAUUGAGAUUUUCAAAGGAACAGCUUUUAGUUUCAACAUUUUCCUCUAUUUGUCUAUUUUCUAUUUAAUUAUUUUCUGUUCUUAUUAGUAUUGUAUUUUACUUACUUUGGGUUUAAUUUUCCUCUCUUUUUUAUUGCUAUUACUACUACUACUACUACUACAUUAUUUUGUUUUGUUUUAAGUAAGCUUCACACCCAGUGUGGAGCCCAAAAAGGGGCUUGAACUCACAACCCUGAGAUCAAGACCUGAGCUGAGAUCAAGAGUCUGACGUUUAACUGACUGAGCCACCCAGGUGCCCCAAUUUUCCCUUCUUUUUCUAGCUUCUUAAGUGGAAGCUUAGGUCAUUGAUUUGACCUUCUUAUUUAAACUUUCAAAGGUAAAUAUUUCCUUCCAAGCACUGCUUUAACUGCAUCUCACAUAUUUUGAUAUGUUAUGUUUACAUUUUCAUUCAGCUCAAAAUAUGUUCUAAUUUCCAUUUUGAUUUCUACCUUAGCCUGUAGGUUAUUUAGAAAUAUGCUUUUAAGCUUCCAAAUAUUUGGGAGUUUUUCUAGAUAUAUUUUUGUUAUUGAUUUCUAAUUUAAUUCCAUUGUGGUUGGUAAACAUAUUCUGUGUGCUUUAAUUCCUUAUAAAUCUGCUGAAUCUUGGAUUAUGUCCCAGCAUAUGGUCUACCCUGGUAAAAUAAAAAAAAAAAAAAUUUAGCUUUUACUGAUGGAAAAUUUCAAAUGUCUAUACAUAUAGACAGGAUAUAAUGGUCCCCACAUAUUCAUCACCCAACUUCAACAAUUACCAACUCAUGACAGUUUUGUUUCACCUAAACUUUUUAUGUUAUCUUGAAGCAAAUCUCAAAUAUGUCAUUCACUCUGUAAAUAUUUUUUAAAUCUUUUUGUAGAAAGAAAACUCUUUUUUUUUUUUUUAAGCUUUUAUUUAUUUUGAGAAAGGGCAUGCAAGCAGGGGAGGGGCAGAGAGAGGGAGAGAAGAAUCCCAAACAGGCUCCGUGCUGUCAGCACAGAGCCCAACGUGGGGCUCGAUCUCACGAAUCGUGAGAUCAUAACUGGACCAAAAUCAGGAGUCUGAGGCCUCACUGACCUAGCCGCCCAGGUACCCCCACAUUACAAGUUUAUAUGGGGGCUUCCAGGUCAUAUUUAGGACCACAGGAACUUUACCUCCUUACUCUUACGUUUGUAUCUUUUUUCUCCCAUGCCCGGAAUCUUGGUUCUCUGUGAGCCAGGAUGACAGUACUGUUAUCUUACAAGCGAUAGGUGUGAGCUACUUAUCUGUUGCAUCCCACAAUAAGCCUAGGAUGGUCUUAGGGUAAAAAUACCAGCUUCACUGCCAGUAACAUGAUUAUUGAAAACAGGAUGUGGGGAACCUCCAUCCUGCUCCAGCAGUUCUCAGCAGCCUGGCCUGCCUCGUGCAAGGGGGGGUUUGGAGCUGGCACUUUUCCUCCUCUUCCUCUAGUCCCCCGUGCCUUUUACUUUGUUUGUUUGUCUGAUUUUCUUAAUGCGGAACACCUGGGUGCUCAGUGGGUUAAGUGGCCAACUCUUGAUUUGGGCCCAGGUCAUGGUCUUACGGUCGUGAGUUUGAGCCCCGAGUUGGGCUCUGUACAGAUAGCGUGGAGCCUGCUUCGGAUCCUCUGUCUCCCUCCCUCUGUCCUUACCCCACUUACACUUGCUCUCUCUCUCUCUCUCUCUCUCUCUCUCUCUCAAAACUGAAUAAUCGUUUUGAGAAGGAAGACAGAGAAGGCAUGCAAGGGAAGAGCAGAGAGAGGAAGACAGAGGAUCCGAAGCAGACUCGUGCUGACGGCACAGAGCUCAAUGUGGGGCUCGAACUCCCGAACCGGGAGAUCAUGACCUGAGCCAAAGUUGGAUGCUUAACCAACUAGACUACCCAGGCACCCCUACUGUUUUUUUCCCUUAAUUGUGGUAAAAUGUACGUAAUAUAAAAUUUAACAUUGUAACCAUUUUUAGGUACAAUUCAGUAGCAUUGAGUACAUUUGCAGUAUUGUGCAGCCAUCAUCAAUAUCCAUUUUCAGAACUUUUUAACCAACCGAAACAGAAACUCUGUCAUUAAAAAAAAAUUUUUUUUUUAAGUUUAUUUAUUUUUGAGACAGAGAGAGACAGAGCAUGAACGGAGGAGGGUCAGAGAGAGAGAGGGAGACACAGAAUCGGAAGCAGGCUCCAGGCUCUGAGCCAUCAGCCCAGAACCCGACGCGGGGCUCGAACUCACGGACCGUGAGAUCGUGACCUGAGCUGAAGUCCGACGCUUAACCAACUGAGCCACCCAGGCGCCCCUAAAAAAAAAAUUUUUUUUUUUAUGUUUAUUUGUUUCUGAGACAGAGAGAGACAGAGCAUGAGUGGGGGAGGAGCAGAGAGAGAGGGAGAUACAGAAUCAGAAGCAGGCUUCAGGCUCCAAGCGGCCCGAUGCGGGACUCGAACUCAUGAAAUGUGAGAUCAUGCCCUGAGCUGAAGUUGGACACUCAACCGACUGAGCCACCCAGGCGCCCCAGAAACCCUGUCAUUUUUCAACAAUUCCCACCCCUGUCUGCCAGCCCCUGACAACCACCAUUCUUUCUGUGUCUGUCUCUGUGAAUUUACCUAUUCCAGGUACUUCAUAGACGUGGAAUCCUACUACAUGUGCCCUUUGGUCAGAUACGUUUGUAGCAUGUAUCAGAUUUUCCUUCUUUUAUUAUGACUGAAUAUUCCCUUGUACGUAUAUACCACAUUUGGUUUAUCUUUUCUUUUGUCAGGGGACAUUUGAGUUGUUUCUGCUUUUUGGCUAUUGGGAAUGAUGUUGCUGUGAACAUUGGUGCACAGAUAUCUGAGUCCCUGUCCUCAGUUCUUUUGCGUGUAUGUCCUAAAGUGGACUAUGCCACCACGUUUACAAGGCAAGUGUGGUAGAAGUUACAUUGUCACGUUGUUCAUAAUCCUGUGUUGCAAAAGUUGGAAACGAUGUCAGUCUUUCUGUUGCAGAGUUAGGCCAGAUGCAGAACUAUGGGCUCUUGUCUGUGUGUCCCGUCACCCAGGUCCUGUACCCCUAGAAGAACAGUGUUCUUGCUGGCUUCAGGCUCAUGGGGAUUCUGCUGUUUUAUGUGUCACCUGUCCCCUGUAUCAUGUCCUUGAGUUUUUCUGACCUCCAUUGUUGCAUGGACACACCCUCUCGCCGUCCUCUCUGUUCACCAUUCUUGCCUCCAGCUUCCAGGAAUCUGUAUGCUAAUCAUGAACUCCCUUUCUCUCUGAUGCCCCUCUAGUUCUCCCACUGGGUUUAUGGGGGGGCGGGGUCUCGCCCUGGGCACGUGUGUGCUCAGAUCCACACAUCUCUUGCUCUAAGGCUGUGUGGCCCCCAUGCCUCUUCCACCCCUCACGCCCCCAGCUUCCCUUACUUCCGAGGCGCAAGGGUCAUCGUCUGUUGGGGAGAGAGGUUUGAGUCAGAGCAGACCCAGGGUUACAGCGUUGUGGUUUUGCCCUUAUUGUAUCUGACAGACUUUGCUUUCCAGAUCUGCAUGAUGGGGUCCUGGCCCAUUGGAGGGACGAGGCUAACCGAGGCUACCAUGGGACAGCGCGGCUGCUGAGGGACUGGAGCCUGUGUUGGCCUCCAGGUGACCUGGAGCUUCUGGAAGUCCUUUCUGUCUCCUAGCCAAGAGCUGGCUUUUCCCUUCAGUCCUCAGUGAGCCUCUUUUCAAGUGCAGAUGCCUCCAGCCAAGUUUCUUUCAUUAGGGCGUCUAGGCCCCUGACACCUUGCUGUUAGUUCAUUCAGUUUAUUUUGGAGCUGGGUGGCAAAGGGUGAGGAAAGGGGAGAGGGAGGCUUGGAGCCUCUGGUUUCUGGGGAGAGGCCUGCCGGACUCUGGCCCCUCGUGGGCACUGCCACCAGAGCUCGCUGUGGUCCCUGCCUGUGUCUAGAGCCUGCUCUGGCCCCCGGGGCCUCACUCCCAGGACCCCCUCGCAGGAUUGUCACACGGCAGUUGUGACUGAGCGGAGCGAAAUUUCAUUCUGUGGGUUAGAAUCCCAGAGAGCUUGCAUUUUGUCUGGCUCUACAGGUCUGUGUCAUGGUAGGGGGCUCCGAGGAGCACGGAGACCGCUGAGAAAGGAUGUAGGCUCUUUGUGAGGGUCUCAGAGGAAGCUGAGACCAGGUGAGUUAGUCCUUGAUGGGAGGCCGGGGAGCCAGAGAGGAGAUGGGUUAUAGAGCCACAGCAUGUAGGACACCUCGUGCAGGCUCAGGGACCGAUAAAUGGACCGGUGGAACAGAGUCGAGAGUCUAGAACAGCCUCAGAUGUGUGGGAACUUGCUUUAUGUCCGAGGUGGCGCCACAGAGCAGUGUGCGGGGAAGCAGCCACCACACAAGCGGUGCUGGGACAGUUGGAGGUCAGGACGGAAGAAAAGUGAAUUGGAGCGUGUACGGUCCCAUAACGGACUGUUACAGUCAUAAGAGGCCAACCCCUUAGAGCCACAGAGCUCCGACUGGACGUGCCGUGCUCCCGUGCCUGGAAGGUGUGCGUGGACACAUAGGUAGAAAAACCACACCCGAGGUAGCGAUCGCCAGAAGAGUGAGGGGAGGCCCUGACCCCGUCCUGAGGGGGUAGCGCUCGCAUGGUUCUGCCUCCAGUUUAGGUGUGUGUUCGGUAUCUUCUGUAUUUGUAUCACACUUCCCCGUAAAAAAGACUUUUCGGAGGGGGCCCCAACACACUGGGGGAAAUGUUGGAAGCCUGUCCGUCCCGGGCCCAGGCACGCACGGCUGCCAUGAGAUCCAGGCUGGCCGCACAGUGGUGGGAGGGCGCCCCGCCAGGGUGACGAGCAGGGCUGCCGAGUGCUGGGGUGGAAACCUGUGCAGGCCCUGAGUCCAGGGCGUCUGGGCUGUGUGUCUGAGCCCUGGCCUUCCGUGGGGCUGUCGGGACCCUGGGGGUGCUUCAUGCAGAGCUGAGGGGGGUGAGGUUAGCAUUUUCAGUGCCCUGGGGCUGCAGUGUGGAGACAGGCUGGAGCUCCAGCUGGGAGCAGAGCAGCACCUGUGAAAGAUACAGACCCAGUGGGAGUCGGGGCCCAGGGGUAGCUCCGGCCUUGCCUCUCGGGGCCUCCCCUCCCCUCCCUGGCAAGAGGGUCCAGCCACGCCGUGGGCCAUCCCGUGGGCCUCCCCACCCCUGCUGUUACCUGCUUCCUAGUUCUCGAACUCACCAGGUGUCUUCCCUCUGGGCCUUUAUGCUGACCCUUCACUCAGACUGGUUGCUCCUUCCUGCCCAUGGGAUGGCACCUUGUAAAUGGUCACCUAGCGCCCUUCCCUUGAAUGCCAGCCUGGAGAGGCAGGAGCUGGACUGCUGCUUGUGGAAGAAACGAGUGAAUGAGCAGGGAAUGUGGGCUUUCUGGAGCCCAGGUCUGCCUUGGUAGCCGUUGUGGUGGCAGGGUCGUUGAGCCGUGGUGGGGUUGGCUAGUGCCAAGGACGUAACCAGAGCAGGCACUCCCGUCCUGGGGUUCUCCUGGGUGGUGGAGGCUGGUACCAGGGGAGUCUGAGGGACCGGAGGAGGUCCCAGGCCCCAGGCAGUAGCACAGGCAGAACUGGAGUUAGGUCCACCAAGGGGCUGCCCGUAAUGGGUCCCUGAGACUGUGGUGGGAGACAGGCAGAAGGACAGAGGAACAGGCAUAUGCCACUCUGAGAGAUUAGGACAUGGAGGAAGGACGCUUUGAGAGUAGGAGGCCGUUAACCCCAUUCCUGUGUUGGCUUUGAGAGACUUCAAAGCCUAGAAUGACAGGUGACCGUGGCACAGUGUGGAUGUGGCUCCUCCCCUGAGAAUCCUCUGGUGCCCUGGGCCAAGUGAGGGUGAUGAUCCCCCAGCCUCACAGAGCAGGUCUCUGAAAGUCAUCCUGGCGCUGUGACAGGCGAGUUAUGUGGCGGCCGAUCCCUCCCAUUCUGUUGGAAUGAUCCUGGGGGUUCCCCACUGCCAAUGAGGCCAGGUGCUCAGGGAGCCAUGUGUGCCCUUGACCCUUGAGCAUGCGUUUCCUGAAGCUUCAGGGAGAUGGACAUCGAUUGAGCAUUUGAGCCCACAGCCCAGUGUCCCAGUUGGCCUGCUCUCCUGGGAAUGUCCUGUACAGCCAUGCCCCUGGAGCAGGUUCAGUGUGGGACCCGGGCACGCUUCUUCUAGGGCAGUGCCUGCAGUGGGGUGGCUGUUGGAGGAUGUGGAUACCAUUCCGGGACAGCCACAGGUCCCCGGUGCCUUCCCCAGCACGGGUCUCAGCUCUUGAGGGAGUGUCUCCUUGGUGGCUGAUGGCCUGGUGGGCGGGGCGGGGCACCUUCUGUGGAUGACGUGAGGGGGUCUUGGAAGGUCGUUGGCCCAUUCCCUGUUUGGCGGAAGGUUUCCUUUUGCUUUUUAGUAGUUCUUCUAUCGAUUGGUUAUGUAUUGCCAAUACCACUUCCUUCUCCAGGCCAUCCUUUUUUCACUCUUUUUAUUUUUAAACAUUAUUUGGAGAUCACUGCAGGUUUACAUUCAGUUGUAGGAAGUAGUUCAGAGAGACAGUCCCCUGAAGACGUCUGGGACACUAGCGUCCACACUGAUUUUUCCAGUUUUAUGUGCGCCUGGAUGUGUGUGCACACACGUGUGUGUUUACUUCUGUGCAUUCUUGUCACACGUGUGGGUUUUUGUCACCACCAGAAUCAAGGUGCAGAGCAGCUCCACGACAAGGACCCUGUGCUGCCUGGGUAGCCAUGGCCAUCUUCUCCCUCAGCCCCCACCCCACACCCUAGGAUCUGACCACAUCGAGGAUAUUUUAUCACUGGGAUCACAUGGGGUGUGACUGUUAGGUGCCCAGUGCCCUUGAGACCACCCAGGCUGUGUGCAUCCAUAGUUGGACCCUUUCAUUGCUGAAGAGUGUCCCAUGAUGUGGGUAGACCAGAGUUCUGUUGAAGGGCUGGGGUGUUUCCAGUUUGGGGCUAUUACUAAUAAAGUUGCUAUGAAGUUCAUGUUCAGGUGUUUGUGUAAACUUGGAUGUCAUUUCUCUAGGACAAAUGCCCAAGAGUGCCCCUCCUGGGUCCUAUGGUAAACACACAUUUACUCUUUGUAAGAAACUGCCCAACUGUUUUCCAGAGUGGCUGUGCCAUUUUACAUGCCAUCAGCAUGGCCAUUUACUGCCAUCAGCAGUGUGUGAGACCCAUUUUCUUUAAACCCUUGCCAUUCAGAUAGACAUGCCGCGAUAUCUCACUGUGGUUUUAAUUUACAUUUUCCUGAUGGCUGAUGCUGUUGAAGAUCUUCUCAUGGGCAUUUUUGCCAUAUGUAUAUCCCCUUCAGUGAAACGUCUGUUCAUACCUUUUGCCCACUUUCUUUCUUUUUAAAAAAAAUUUUUUUUUCAACGUUUAUUUAUUUUUUUUGGGACAGAGAGAGACAGAGCAUGAACGGGGGAGGGGCAGAGAGAGAGGGAGACACAGAAUCGGAAACAGGCUCCAGGCUCUGAGCCAUCAGCCCAGAGCCCGAUGCGGGGCUCGAACUCACGGACCGCGAGAUCGUGACCUGGCUGAAGUCGGACGCUUAACCGACUGCGCCACCCAGGCGCCCCUCUUUCUUUUUUUUUUUAAAAAUCUUUUAAUUUUAUUUUAGAGAGUGCAAAGGGGAAAGAGGGGCAGAGGAGAGUUGGGGAAGGGGAGGGGAGGGGGGAGGGGAGAGGAGAGGAGAGGAGAGGAGAGGAGAGGAGAGGAGAGGAGAGGAUCUCAUCUCAAACUGAGUACGGAGCCUGACAAGGGGCCCCAUCCCAUGACCCUGGGAUCACAACCUGAGCUCAAAUCAAGAGUCAGACACUCAACUGAGUCACCCAGACGCCCUGAUACAAUUAUUUUUUACAUUACUCUUGUAUUUACCAAUAUUCUUCUGUUUUAAUUAAUUUCAAUAGUUUUCCUAGAGGAUCUUUCAGGGCAUCUGGGUGGCUCAGUCUGUUGAGCAUCUGUCUCUUGAUUUCAGCUCAGGUUCGUGAUCUCACAUCAGACUCUGCACUGACAGUAUGGAUGGGGCCUGCUUGGGAUUCUCUCUCUCCCUCUCUCUCUCUGCCCUUCCCCCUGCUCAUGCAUGCUCUGGUUCCCUCUCUCAAUAAACAUUAAAAAAAGAAAAAGACCUUUCAGGUUUUUAUCCUACACAAUGUCAUUUGCACAUAAUGAGUUUUUUCCACCCUUCCUAUCCUUAUUCCAUUUCUUUCUUUUUCGUGCCCAGGUGCACUAGCCAGAAGUUUAGUACAAAUAUGACUCGAAGUAGCGAUACAAACGUCCUUGUCUCAUCCAGCAGGUUUGUUGUUUUUCAAUUAGAUUGGGAUGGCAGGACCCAGAGGCAGGAGAGAGCUGACGUUGGAAGAUGGGUCCUAGAGAGGUCCACUGGGCAUGGGUCCGGGUCUUUGCUGUGGGGUGAAGCACUGUGGCGGGGGGCCAGUGGCAGGUGGGUCGUUGGACUAGGUGGACAUCUGUGUCUAAAGUCUUCUGUCUUCUCAUGAAACGUGUCAGCAGCUGAGCAUGAAAAUAUGGGAGAAGAGGCAAGGGAAGCUGUGAGGUUUCUGGAAGAAGUAGUGCCAUGGAGUGUGUGGGGCUCCCAGUUGGGUGGACGCUGGCCACCUGGACGGUGACACAGUUCAUCCAAGACAGAACAAAGGAGACAGAAGUUUAUUGAACACACUGCAGCAGGCAGGACAGCAAAGCGGAGACUGUCUGUCGGGAGUGGGGGGGUGGGGGGAGCUGUAGCUCAGUCAGGGAGUGAGGAGGUAUGGAAACUAUAGAAUUUUCUUUUGGUAACUGCCGGGUUGUCAGUAACCCACUGUGGUCAGCUGGGACCUGUGGCUGUUUUGAGGCGGGUCGUGAGGGGCCUGUUUGUACUCAGCCCCGUGGGUGGUCGCCACGAGUGCCCUUACUUACUCAGGCUUCCAUUGCUCAAGCCUGCUGCCUAAAAGCAGACUCCACAGAGUGGGCCCUGCGCUUGUCUGAUGUGUGGCCUUCAGUUCCUGGCUCUGCUGGUUCGUUCGGGGCUGGGGCAGUGGUGCUGGACAGGCCGGGCUUCCCAUCUGGGCGCUGUAAGUCAGGAGGGCCACAGAGUGUGUGAUGGCUGAGUACGGCCUGAAGCUGCAGAUGAGGACGUGGGGGCUCUGGAGUGCUAGGGUCAGCAGGACUGAGCUGGGGCAGGUGCUGGCCUGAGAAGGGGGUGUUGAGCCGAAAUGCCAGAGCGGGGGUCAGGGGACAGUUACUGGUGGUGACAGGGUCGAGGGCAUAAUUGGGGCAGAGGGCGAGGCCUUUGGCAGGAAGAAGAGGUCGAGACUGGGGGGCAGGGCGUUGAACAUGGUCACGGGAAUAUUGAGACCACCAGGAAUUCAGGCCUGGCGCGGCGGUGGGGCGAUGCCCACAGCAAGGGCUGGUGUGGGUGGUAGGCACAGCUGAUGGCUCAGUCGUCGGCUGGGACUCUUAUGGAGAGGAGGGGGGAGGGGGCUGCAGGCCACAGCGAGAAAUGGGGCGGGGGGGGGGGGGUGUGGCUGAGGUGGGGAGAGAAGGCUGGCGGGAAGGGAGCAGGGUGGAGGGGACCUGGGACUCCCAAGGGAGAGUGAAGGCCCAGAAACAGGGCUGAGGUCAUUGGUGGCGAGGGUUUCAGAACCAGGGGAUUGAGAACAGGGUCAGAAGCCCCCUCCUCGAUGCUGCUCCCCUCAUCCAGCCUAUCUCUGUGUUCCCUUCCAUCUCAGCCGAGGUCUGAGGAGGUGGAGCCCCCACUGUGUCCUUGCCAGUUCUCCGAGGGGUCUUCUGCUGGGCUGGCAGUGGUGUCCUCACCUUUGUCUUCUGAGCAGUGGCAGGUGUAUCCACAGGGAAGUAUCUCGAACAGAGUGUUUGGUCUACAGUCUUUUAUGCUCUCUAGAGGCUGGCCUCUGUGGCCCAGCCAUGUGUGCUGUCCAAGCUCCCAUCCUACUGUUAAUUAUUAGGGAGGCGACUGUCUGACUGGAUGUUUCUGAUGGGAUCUGUGUCCUUUGUCCUGUCAACUGCCUUGGACUGCCCCGCCACUUGACUUGAGGACCACUUUGUCAUGUUUAUUGUAAAUAUUUUGGCCAGCUGGCCAUGUGUUUUCUGGUUUUGUAGUUUUUUUUUUUUUUUUUUAAGUUUAUUUAUUUUGAGAGAGAGAGUGUGCGAGAGCAGGGGAGGGGCAGAGAGAGAGAGAAUCCCAAGCAGGCUCUGUGCUGUCAGCAUAGACCCCAACUCGGGGCUCGAACUCACCGACUGUGAGAUAAUGACCUGAGUGGAAGUCAAGAGUCAGACGCUUGACCGACUGAGCCCCCCCCAAGGGCCCCUGUAAAGUUUUGCUUUGAUUUGCUUUGUUUUUCUGUGCAUUUUGAACAUGUAGUGCAACUGGAUUGAUCGGUUUUCUGUUUUUGUUCCUGCGUUUUGUGUCCAGUUUAGAAAGGCUUUCCCCUUUGCUGGGAUCACACAGAUACUCUUUCCUUCUUGUACUCCUGUGGCUUUAGUUUUCCUUAGGUCUGUGUCUCUGAUGAGUCUGGAGUUGAUUUUGGUGUGAGGACAGAGGUGGAUCCUGCCCUCCGUGGCUGUGUGUUGAAGCAGCCUCCCCCCCUACCCCUGCUUAGUGCUGCGUGGCCCCCCGUGCUCCCUGUGUGGCCCCUCGUGCUCCCUGCAGUGGCCCCCAUGCUCCCUACAGUGGCCCCCCCGUGCUCCCUGUGUGGCCCCCCCCCCGUGCUCCCUGCAGUGGCCCUCUGUGCUCCCUGCAGUGACCACCCCGUGCUGCCUGUGUGGCCCCCCAGCAGGUGGACUCCCCCAGCCUCCACCGCCAGUCUCUUGCCCUCUCUGAACAAGGCCGUGGGCGAGUGAAGCCAUGGCUCCGGGCUCUUGUGGCACCAUCUCUAAUCCUCACCCAGACGCUGAAGGUGUGAUGUGGUGAAGUAGUCAACAGGGGACUUUGGGUGUAAGCAUGGCCUCAGUUUCCCUGUGUAGCAAAUGGGGCCUGCUGGAGGCGCUGUGGGGGUCAUGCGGCAAGGCUGCAGAGACACUCAGGCCAGCAUGGGUCUGUUCACGCCGGGCUGGGCUCUGGGUCCUGCGCCUUCAGCCACAGUCUUUGGGGAUGGCCCAGUGGUGCGGGCUGAGGGGGGAGGGCUGUCCUCAGGCUCCUCUUGUCUUUCCCAUCUCACUCCCACACUCCUGUGCGGCUUACCUGGGCACAGAGCUGAGACCUGGAAAAAAACCCACUCAGAUUCUCUCUGACAUUCCAGAGAGACUUGGGGGAAAAUUUGUAGACGAGGCAGGAGAAGCCUUGCUUACCUGCCCCCCCCCACCGUCCCGCACCCCCCCACCACCCUGCAAUGUGGGUGUGGCGUCGUGGCCAUUCGGUGGGACUCCACUAAGCCACCCUGGCCUUGGUGGCUCAGCUAAGGGUCAACUCUUGUACUUGUGGCAGCUGUUCCCGGACUGUGGCUGGGAGGGGGCUGGGGGCCAGAAAGCUUAGGGCUGAGCCCGGAGGGGCCAGGCACUGGGCACUGUGUCACUCCUUGAGGGAGACUGUCCUGGCAUCCGGCAUCCACCGCAGUGUUUUCCUGGGACUCCCCGGGUCACCCUAGGGUCACUGGGGCUCUAGAGGAGAUAGUCGUCAGCCCGAGGACCUGCCCAAGGGUACAUGGAGACCGCCCUUGGGCAUCUAACAGCCAGGAGUGCUGCUGGAGGGGCCCACAGCACACCAGGGCUUCAGGAGGCUGGGGCCGCCAGAGUUGGGGGCUGAGGACCCAUGUUAGCUGCGGGGUUCUUCCUGUUGUGGCUUAGUUGGGGGAAGGGGGUGCUCUCCAGAUCCUGCUCAGCGAUGAGUUCUCAUGGAUGGCCUUUAAAAUGAAUAAGCCAGAAGACGUGUAUUCGGUUUGCACAGCUGAUUGCUGGUUUUCUGUAGGACGCGGGCAUCAGAAUCUUUUUGUCUGUAGAGUGAUGGGGUGGAUGAUGCCUUCUAAAUCUUGCUAAACUUGGCAGCUGGGUGGUGGUGGCUCUGGGACUGGUGCCUGUCCUUGCCUUUGAGAAGUGAACCUGGCCCCUGCAGCCCUGUGGGGCCUGUAGGUGGGCCACCUUCCUUGUGGGUGGGGCAUCGUCACAUCCUCUGUGGGCCCCCUCCCCUGCCUUGCUCCUUGCUGAUGGUCUCUUGGGGUGGGCUGUUCAGGUCAGCUUCCCUGGGAGGCCCAGAGAGGUGACAGUCACACCUUGCGGCCAGGUGUGUGUGGGGUGGCCUGCUUCCUGGGGGUGGGGGGAGCAUGAAGGGAGGGGCUGUGAGUGGCCAGGAGGGAAGGAUAAUCUCGCAGAAGACGGGCGCUCGCCCUGGUUUGUAGCUGGCACAGCCCUCGGAGCACUUCCAGGAGAGCCCAAGGAGACCGUGACUUUGUGCAGUCAAGCCUGGGGCAGAUAGGUCAGUGUGGCCGUGGGGACCAGGGUCAGAGCCUGGGGCCUUGAGAAACUUGCGGAGAACAACUCCCUGGAGGGGCAGCCUCUCGGGGAAGUCUCCGUUGUGGCUGUCAGCACAGCGGUCCUUGCUCUCUGCUCUCAGCUGCACUGCCCUUUCUGGGAACUCUGAGUGAGCCCCCUCACCCCCUGCCAGGAAUGUUGUCCCAUGUGUCCCGUGGCCCUGGCUGGGACAGGGCAGGGCUAGUGUUCUUCCCUGCUGGCCUGCCCCACCUGGAGCCAGCCUUGAUGUGUUUGUUUCCUGUUUUUCCUCCACAGGCUGGUGGAUGCCACCUGCUGUCUGCAGCCUGAUCAACUGCUCUCCCAAAAGGAGGCCCUCCUGAAGACAUAGUCGCCAGGCCUGCCGUGCCCUUGGUACCCUGGCUGCUCACACAGUCUCACUCCUGGGCACUCGGGGCCGAGACCCCAGGACUCUGAGGGCACGCCCUGCCCCGGUUUCUCUGUGGCUGUGGGGCCCGCCCUCUGGCCACACCCCCCUGUUAGCACUAACGUACUGACCCUGGAAGAGUGAGGGAGAGGGGAGGGGAGGCCAGGCCAUGGCUGCUCCCAGGCCCCACCCAGGAUCCUAAGGCCUGGAAGGUGAGGGGGCCUCUGCCCAUUGCCCUGCCCCCGCUUCACCCUCAUCCAAGUGCCAGGACGCUGCACCUCUCUUAUCUAGGUAAUUAGCUUCAGACCCUGGACCGAGGCUGGCCAGGUCGUGGGCUGCUUCCCACAGGCUGUGCACCCUGACCCCAAGAGGGAGGUGAGGCCCUGCCCAUUGAGUAGCCGAGGUGCCGGGGCUCUUGAGAGGCAGGCAGCAGGUGCCCUCCCACCCUGCCCUUUCUGCCCGGGCCUGGUCACGGCGUGG